GUGGAGUUGUGGUUCAGAGGUAGAGUGCUUGCCUAGCACAUGUGAGGCCCUGGGUUCGAUCCUCAGCACCACA
rnacentral:tRNA from 1 species